AUGGGGAAAGCGAGGCGCCUCAAGCAGGGUCGCGGCGGCGGCGGUGGCGGAGGCGGCGGCGGUGGCGGCGGUGGCGGAGGCGGCGGCCGCGGCCUCCAGCGGGGGCGGGAGCGCUUCGACGGGUUCGCGCCGGGGAGCUUCCAGAACGUCUCGUCGGGCAUGGCCUACUUCCCCUCCCAGGACCGGGUGGGCUACAUGAGUCAGGAGCAGAGGGAAGGGCUGGAUCGCAUGCUCACCUCGGAGAUGGUGCGCCGCCACAUCGCGGAGUCGGGCGUCGACCCCAGCGAAAUCUUCUUUGCUCCACCCACUAUAUUUGGUGGCGCGGAUGGGGACCGCAGUGAGUCGAAUGACUCUGUGAAGAUGGAGGACAUGGGGCCACUGCAUGAGGCAGCAUGCACGGGGAAGAUUGAGACAUGCCAAUACUUGGUGGAGCAGCUUGGGUUUGACAUCAAUACUGAAGCUAAUGAUGAUUCAGGCAUGACACCUUUGGCUUGUGCGGUGUUGCGUGAUAAAUCAGUUACUGUGGAGUAUUUGCUUGACAAAGGUGCUAAUCCCAAUAAGCAAGACAACAAAAGAUUUACUCCUCUGCACUACGCUACAAAAGAAGGGAAUAACCGACUGGUACGACUCUUGCUGUCAAAAGGAGCUAGUGUUGAUGUAUUCUCUUCUGAAGGGACACCGCUACAUGUCGCUGCCUCUUAUGGGAAGUCUGGCAUCAUGCAGAUUUUAUUGCAGCACAAUGCAGAUCCAAACACGGUUUCGGCAGAUUUAGGCACACCCAUGGCUGCAGUUCUUUGUGUUGCUUCUGGUAGAAUUACUGAGUCUGAUGCUUUAAAGUGCAUGAAGCUCCUUGUCAAGGCUGGUGCCGAUUUGAAUUGUGCAAAUCCUGAUACUCCAUUGGUGAUAGCAACUAGCAAAGACUUAUCUGAAUGUGUUGAGUAUUUGCUGGAGGUUGGCGCAGAUGCCAAUAUUCCAAGCAAUCAAGGCCGUAUGGCACCAAUAGAAAUGGCUGCAAACUCUGGAAGAAGAAAGCUUGUUGAGAUUCUGUUUCCUUUCACAUUGCCCAUUCAAUCUGUGUCAAACUGGAGUGUUCAAGGAAUCAUUGCCCAUGAAAAGUUAAGGCAAUCAAACAAGGGUAAGCAAAGUGAUAAAGACAGCAAUUUUCAGCUGAAAUUAAAUGCAGAAGUAGUAACCAAGAAAGAAGACUCUGGUGCACCAAAGAAGCCCUGUGCCAAGGACAAGGGAGGUGAUAAAGAUAAAAAGGCUGAACUGAAAUUACUCGGUGCAAAAGCAGUCGAGCGGAAGGACUACGCUGCUGCAUUAAAAUUCUACAGUGAGGCAAUCAAAGUGGAUCCUGAAGAUGCAACGCUUUAUUCCAACAGGAGCCUUUGCCAUCUAAAGAGCGGCCAAGCGCAUGAUGCUUUGGCUGAUGCCAUCGCAUGUGUAAAUGUGCAGCCUGAUUGGGCGAAGGGUUACUAUCGGAAGGGAGCUGCCCUCAUGUCGCUCAAGGAGUGUAAAGAAGCAUGUGAUGCAUUCCUGGCUGGAGGGAAACUGAAUCCUGCAAGCGUGGAGAUUCACGACGCAUUCUGGGAGGCGAUUGAGGCAAUGAAGAAGCAACAUUCGGAUCGACAAAGCGCAGGCCCGGUCUGA
rnacentral:rRNA from 1 species